UCUUAUCUUUCUUCAAAUUGGAAUAAAAAAACACAGAUUCAGUUUCGGCUCUAUAUCCUCCUCUUGCUUCUUCUUCUUCUACAUUCUCUUUCAUCUUCAAUAAAAGAUAUCUCCACACCCUUUCAUCAAACUUAAAUUCACCAUGGACUUUCAGUGCACGAUAUUCAAUCCAAUGGUGCAGAUACCAGUUGUUGGACUUAAGUGAUUCUGAUUGAAUCUGUUGGACCUGAUUUAUUGUGGUAUUAGAGGGAUUUGAUUCCUAUUUGAUUUAUAUUUCCAUAUCUGAUAUAAUUUCAUUGUGAGUUUAAUUUUUUUCCAUGCUUGGUGAAAUUUUGCGAACCUUCUUAAAGGCCCUAGACUUCACUAUUGUAGACGCUUGACCAUGUAUUAAUAACUGUCUUUUUGGAAUUUUCUUCCAAUGCUUGGUGCUGACUACUUGGUUUCUGUCAUUUUCCCAAUUCUUGGUGCUAACUCUAGGCAACCAUAGGUAUUGACUCCAGGAAGCCUUAGGUGUUGAAGCCAGGGUUUUAUCUUUCUUUCCAAUGCUUGGUGCUGAUUCCAUUUCCAUGCAACCCUAUGUGUUGAAGCCUCAGUUUAUAUCUUUUUGUCCUUUUUUUGUUUCCCAAACACACAUCCCCUUUGAAAAUCCAUUGUCCUUUAUCACUCUGUUCUCUAUCUUUUGUCAUUGCUCUCUUUAUUUCUAACCCUUGAGCCUACAGCUGUCUCUUUCACCUGUGUCUUGGCCUGUGGCUGGAAUUUGGCAGAUUUACGUAGAUUGUUUGAGUGUGAUCAGAAAAAGAGUGAAUUCUUUGAGCAGUCAUUCCCACAAACAGAAUAUAUUGUCCUGAGCUUAGUGUUUAGAGAUGUGGCCGUAUAUAGAGCGUAGUGGUGUUAAUGGAUUGAUAUAACUGGUCCCAAUUAGUUGGGAGUAGGGUUAGUUGCGUUGGGUAAUCCAAUUUCAAUUGAUUUUAGUAUAGAAUGCCUGUUCUUGCUUUUGAUUUCAAUCAAGAACUGUGUUUAUUUCACAUUUUAAUAUAUUUAUUUUUGGUUGAUGAAAUUUCAUUUUUCGAUCUUGCUUUGAUAUAACAUGGGGUUUUGUAAUAAUAAUUGGUUAUUAGGGGGAACUUGUAGCUUCUGGGGCAAAUGUAGGUGGUUACUGGUGGCAACUCAUGGCCAGAUUCUAACUUUGGGAACCUUAUGCUUUGUGGUCGCCCUUUGGUGAAUCAUUGUUUUAUGAAGAAUCUAUGGAUCACCUGCUGAUUUUCUGUCUAGUAGCUCAUUCUAUGUGGAUGUAUAUGCUUCAAUUGUUUGGGAUUGAUUGGGUUAUGCCAAGUUCAACUACAAACUUAUUAUUUUGUUGGUAUCAUUAGUUUGUGAAAAAUAAUUCCAAUAUUUGGAAUUUGGUUCCAAGCUGUUUGAUGUGGAUUAUUUGGACUGAACGUAAUCAGCAUUCUUUUGAGGAUACUGAGAAAUCUCUAGCUCAAUUGUUAGAUUUGUGCCAACGGACUCUCUUUGAUUGGUCUCAGUGUUGGGGUUGGGGUUUCUUGGAUUGUUUUGCUCUUCUGGAUUUUCUAUUAUCUCUUAGAAUAGUUUAAUGACUCUUUGUUUCUAUUUGUUUCUGUUUGCUCUUUGUUCACUACUGUGAACUCUAUGCAUCUUUCCUUCUAUUCCUUUUUUAAUAAUAUUUUCUUUCUUAUCUAUCAAAAAAAAAAAAAAGUUACUGGUGACAGUUACUGUUUCCAUUCCUUUUCUGAUAUAACAUAAAAGGUUGAUAAAAUUAGAAAUUUUGAAGCUUUCUAUCGCAAGUCUUUGUGUAUCCCAAUGCAGCAGGAGAAAUGGGACUUCAGGUGUUCAGCAUUGGUGUUUUACCACCUUUGCUUUGGUUUGUGAUCUAUUGUUCAAAAGUAUCGUCUUAUUAAUUGAGUUGAUGACACACUGGUAGAGCAGCUUGUGAAAUCUGAUAAAACUUGUUAAGAGAGGUGAGUCCCUAGUUAAUUGGUGUUGCUUGUGUUGGUGUGAUGGGGAAUUGGUAGACCAUCUUUUACUUCAUUGUAAGUUUUCUCAUGCUUUAUGGAAUGAAGUUUUUUAGGUGUUUGGGGUCCAAUGGAUUUUGCCGAAGACUGUUUUCUCACUUCUUUUUGCAUGGAGGAAUUGGUUUGGGAAGCAACUGCCAAAUAUCUGGAAUAUAGCUUUUCUUGGUGGCUUUACCUCAUAUAUCCCUUUUUUUUUCUUUGUUGGAUUUUGAUGUCUGAGACUCUAUGAUUUCUGCUACUGGGAGGUUAUCAGUAAAAUUCUUGUGUUCUUCCAGCACUUUGUUGCCGUCUCAUACAAUUGUUGACAUAUCUGGAACAGAGCAGUGCAGAUAGAAAAUGCAGAGAAGAAAGUGCAAAGCUACUAGGCUGUCUAAUACGGAAAUGUGAGAGACUAAUACUUCCAUACAUUGUUCCAAUACACAAGGCACUUGUGGCUAGGCUUCUUGAGGGCACCGGGGUCAAUGUGAAUAAUUGCAUUAUACGCAGAGUUCUUGUAACUGUUGGGGAUCUUACUAGAGUGGGUGGUUAUUUAACGAGACAAUACAUUCCUGAACAUAUGCCUUUAAUUGUUGAAGCUUUAUUGGAUGGAGCAGCUAUCACAAAACGUGAAGUGGCUGUUGCUACUCUUGGUCAAGUUGUGCAGAGCACUGGGUAUGUUAUAAUUCCAUAAAAUGAGUAUCCGCAGCUACUUGAAUGGUGAGUUAGCAUGGUCUACCAGACAGGAAGCACUGAAGGGAUCUACUUACGACUUAGACUUCUGAGUUGUAUCCCGUACAACAUUUUUUUUGUACAAAGGUUGUUCUUGUUUAGAUCCUUGGAAUUAUGGGUGCUCUGGAUCCUCAUGUGCAUAAAAAAAAUCAGCCAAGUUUGCUGGGGUUGCAUGGAGAUGUAGCCUGUGCUACCAGUGAUUCAGGUCAUGUUCAGUCCUUGGAUGAUCUGCCUAUGGAUCUGUGGCCAUCUCUUGCAACACCUGAAGAUUAUUAACCCACGGUUGCGACCAAUUCUCUCAUGCGAAUACUUUGGGAUCCUUCUCUUGCUAGUUACCACCUUAAGGUGGUUGGAUCACUUAUGUUCACAUUUAAGUUAUGUAUUAGCUCUGGAGGUAAAAGCUUGACUUCCAAAAUGCCAAGGGAUAGAAGAAGGCUUUCCUUGUGUGCAGAUUUUAGUGCCCUGAGCAUGGAACAAGGUAUACCAGAAGAAAAGUUGGGAUCAGUCAAUGAUGUGAAAGAAUGUGAAGAAGCUAGAUGCCCAAUCUGCAUGGAGCACCCUCAUAAUGCUAUUCUCUUCGAGUGUACCUCCCAUGGGAAGGGCUGCCGGACUUACAUUUGCAACACCAACUACUGGCACGCCAGUUAUGUAAUUCAUUUAUUCCACAUUCCUCAAGGGCACUAGACCCUUGUGAAAUCUCGUUGCAAACAAAGGUAGUCUCUCCUCUUUGUUGGGGAGAGAUUUAUGGAUACUUUAUAGUAGAGCCUGCUAUUAAAUUCAUGAAUUCCAAAGCAAGGAGUUGUUCUUUGAGAUGUGUGAUUUUAUCGGGACCUAUUCAGAACUCAGGACGCAUUCAAGGUCUGAACACUCUUUCCAGCUAUAUGAGACAAGACUGGAAAAGGAGAAGGGCGAAGAAUGCAGCACUUUCUCAGAACUUGGGGAAGAGAGUAGUGAAGAAAGCACUUUCUCAAUAGGCCAUAGUGCAUUCUUCCUUGGUUGAUUUAUGCAUGCUCGGUAAUUCGGAGGAAAGUAACAACACUUUCAUUUUGUCAUCGGAUGGUAUGAUCCCACAUUGGAGGCUUUUACCUCAACUUGAUUACCCUAGGCUUCCUAUUAUUAGGCAGGGCAACAAUUUGUCAUCAGACAGUAACUCCUAUUCUUGGUCAUUACAGAAUGGUUAUCAUCAUAGACCCCAAUUCUAGUUCUCACCAAUGCCUAAGCAAUUACCAUGGAGUGUUCCUAGCUAGUUCCAUAGGGUUAUCUGAAAAUGCCCCACUCAUGGCAAUUGUAUAUGCAACGGGGUGGAGGUAGUCACCAUACAAUAACCAAUGCUGAUUACAAUUUUGUUGUUAUCGAGGUUACUCUGUAAUUUGGUUGUAAGUGUUAUUCGGUUAUUAAUUGGAACUUGUGGUUGUUCUCAUUGUUAGCUUUGAUAUAUUAGGUUAUGUAUCAUAUUGAAACUAAAUUUGUUAGGUUCAUUUAUUUUGGAUUU